AUAUGGAGGGGACAAGCGUUAUUCGGAAUCACUGGGCGUAAAGGACGCGUAGGCGGGUUAUUAAGUCGGGUGUGAAAUCCAAUGGCUCAACCAUUGAACUGCAUUCGAAACUGAUAACCUAGAGUAUGGAAGGGGCAGGUGGAAUUAGUGGUGUAGGGGUAAAAUCCGUAGAUAUCACUAGGAAUACCGAAAGCGAAGGCGACCUGCUGGGACAUUACUGACGCUGAGGCGUGAAAGCGUGGGGAGCAAACAGGAUUAGAAACCCCAGUAGUCC
rnacentral:rRNA from 1 species